rnacentral:misc_RNA from 1 species
GGCAGGGAUAAAACAUGGAAUGUCUCAUUAAUUGGUAUUCUGUAUGUACUGUUUAAGCCCGGUUGCCAGGUAAGGCUAUAUGGGCCAGUAAGUUUAUGAUACCUGUGUGGCUCACUAAAAGUAGAUAGGGUUGACCCCCCUUUUUUGUGGGGAUGUUUCCAAGGGCAAGGGUAGGGCUAGGGUUGAAAAGACUUAAAUGCUAAAAUUAGGUAUGAGUUAAGACCAUUGGGCUAAAAAAUGUUUUAAAUCUAAGUUGCUGGAAAUUAAAAAAGAAAAACAAAAGAGUUAUGGUGCUGCUGUAUAAAAUUGACACCUGGAUCUCUGUGCUCAGGAUGUAAAUAAAAAUUACAACACUUAGCUUAGCAUCCGCCAAAAGGACAUCUGCCCAGGAGGCUAAAUCAAGCCUGCAGCCUUCCAUGGAAGUUCUCUCUAGAGAUGAGUCGAGGAUCCUGCAGACGGCGCGCGCGGUGGUCGCGCGCGUUAACGAAAUAUCCGACUGUGACGUAACAUUUACCUUCCCGCGAAAUUAGAAAAAAAAUUGAACAAAAUACAGUUGUCACCGAUUAGCAUGGACCCAGAAGAGGUGAAAGUUGUCGGUAAGGAAGUAAUUGCCUUUAAGACCUUGCCACAGUUAGCAAGGAUUUUAACGAAUUUCGUGUUUUCUUUCGUAGUUUAUGGGGCAAGAAAUUUACAGCCGAAAAAAGGCGACGGUUUGUGUAACGCAUCAGUCAUUUUUGGUAUUGGCAAGCAAAAAUAUCGAACGGAACAUGUUCGAGAUAACGACCCAACAUGGAACGAAGAAACUGUAAUUAAAGUAACUAAAGCAGCUGCACUGGUUUUUACAGUCAUGGAUAGAGAAGACGUCCUUGGUUCAGUCAGUUUACCACUUGCCCAAAUCCCUUCCGUAGCUCACCGUCGUCGUUGGAUGCCAUUAACUGCAAAAAAUGCCCAAGCUAUGGGCGACCUUUGUAUCGACUGUUGGGUGCUUUCGUUUAAGAAGAGUUCCUCAACAGGAGAAGGCGGCAAGUGGAAACCUUUUGGACUGAGGGCCGGGACUGGAACAAAAGAUCGAAUGAAGCGAAGAACUUCAAUUGAAAAUGCUUCUAUUUCUAAAAGAGGAUCAAGGUCUAUAGAGAAUUUAUACACCCAUCCUGAGCUGAAAGCUGACGGCGAAUUAGAAAAAUCAGGUUCAGAAUUGUCUCCGGUUACUUCGUCGUCCAGUAGAACGUCUCUGGCACCUCCGACUCUUUUCAAGCCUCGUCUGGCGCCCACCCUCGGUCAGGUACUUUCCUCAAGCCGCGCGCCAGAGAUAACGGGGCUAUCUCCAAAAUCCGGUCCUUCGUCCGGUGGGACACGCAUCACCGUGCGAGGCUGUAACCUCGGCAAGUCACAAGAGGACAUCGCGUCAAUAAAUAUCUGUGGCUGUGAUUUGCUUUCUACUCUCGAAUACCACAGUCCAGCAAAGCUUGUCGUUGUUACAGAAGCUUGGAGUGGGUCUGGACCAGUUGUACUAGAGACCAAAUCUGGAGGGCGUGGUAUAUCAACACUUAAUUUUACAUUUCAAGAUAAAGCGGCAGGUAAAUAGCUAGUCACGUGGACACACUGUCAUUCUCAUCUCCAGUGCUGCUCGUUUUGAAAAGAAACGGAGGUACUGGAGACGAGAAUGGCUUCUCAUGCGAUGGGGGCAUACGCAAUGGGUCUGAAGGGAAGCAUCAGCUGGGUCAAGCGCAGAUAAGAAAAGCAAAGCAACAAAGGCUGAACUGUUGACAGAAAUAACAAAACUUCGAGAGGAAA